rnacentral:rRNA from 1 species
UAUUGCACAAUGGGGGGAACCCUGAUGCAGCGACGCCGCGUGGGCGAUGGAGUGCUUCGGCAUGUAAAGCCCUAUCAGCAGGGAAGAAAAUGACGGUACCUGACUAAGAAGCCCCGGCCAAAUACGUGCCAGCAGCCGCGGUAAUACGUAGGUGGCAAGCGUUAUCCGGAUUUACUGGGUGUAAAGGGUGCGUAGGUGGCAGGGCAAGUCAGAUGCGAAAGCCCGGGGCUCAACCCCGGUACUGCAUUUGAAACUGUCCAGCUGGAGUGCAGGAGAGGUAAGCGGAAUUCCUAGUGUAGCGGUGAAAUGCGUAGAUAUUAGGAGGAACACCAGUGGCGAAGGCGGCUUACUGGACUGUAACUGACACUGAGGCACGAAAGCGUGGGGAGCA